rnacentral:rRNA from 1 species
UACGGGAGGCAGCAGUGGGGAAUAUUGCACAAUGGGCGCAAGCCUGAUGCAGCCAUGCCGCGUGUAUGAAGAAGGCCUUCGGGUUGUAAAGUACUUUCAGUCGUGAGAAAGGUGUUAAGGUUAAUAACCUUAGCAAUUGACGUUAGCGACAGAAGAAGCACCGGCUAACUCCGUGCCAGCAGCCGCGGUAAUACGGAGGGUGCGAGCGUUAAUCGGAAUUACUGGGCGUAAAGGGCACGCAGGCGGUUAAUUAAGUUGGAUGUGAAAUCCCCGGGCUUAACCUGGGAAUGGCAUUCAAGACUGGUUAGCUAGAGUCUUGUAGAGGGGGUAGAAUUCCAUGUGUAGCGGUGAAAUGCGUAGAGAUGUGGAGGAAUACCGGUGGCGAAGGCGGCCCCUGGGACAAAGACUGACGCUCAUGUGCGAAAGCGUGGGGAGCAAACAGGGAUUAGAUACC